rnacentral:rRNA from 1 species
AUUAAACGCUGGCGGCAUGCCUUACACAUGCAAGUCGAACGGUAACAGGUCUUCGGAUGCUGACGAGUGGCGAACGGGUGAGUAAUAUAUCGGAACGUGCCCAGUCGUGGGGGAUAACGCAGCGAAAGCUGUGCUAAUACCGCAUACGAUCUAUGGAUGAAAGCGGGGGAUCGCAAGACCUCGCGCGAUUGGAGCGGCCGAUAUCAGAUUAGGUAGUUGGUGGGGUAAAGGCCCACCAAGCCAACGAUCUGUAGCUGGUCUGAGAGGACGACCAGCCACACUGGAACUGAGACACGGUCCAGACUCCUACGGGAGGCAGCAGUGGGGAAUUUUGGACAAUGGGCGCAAGCCUGAUCCAGCAAUGCCGCGUGCAGGAUGAAGGCCUUCGGUUGUAACUGCUUUGUACGGAACGAAAAGGCUCUGGUUAAUACCCGGGGCUCAUGACGGUACCGUAAGAAUAAGCACCGGCUAACUACGUGCCAGCAGCCG